UCCUCCCCCUGGGUGGAGCAUCUCAAUGGGAUGAUGUAAUUUUAUCAGUCAUUCAGUGAGACCCAAUGGCCCUUAACAGCUGAUAUGUCCCUAGAGGAAGGAUGGGUUGUGGAAAAGAUAAAGAACACUGUCCCACCUUCUUAUAACAGAUGGCCCAUUAACAGGAGAUAUCUCCUGCAGAGAUAAGGUUUCAAAAGAUGGUGAUAGAAUACAUACUUUUGGUUACAUCCUGCUUUGCACCCAAGACAACUUUCUACAUAAAUAGUCUGUCUUGCUUGUCUGAGGAAGGCUUUAAGUGUGUUUUUUGUGUGUCUCUCAGUUUUCUGAGGACUGUGCCAGCCAUGGUAGGUUUGGAGGUAAAAAGCCAUGAAAAAUUCUUGCACUUUGUUACCAAGUACUUUUUUCCCUUUUACAUCAUUGAUGGUAUUUGAAACUGAGUAGAUACGAGGGCAAAUAAUUCCCCUCUUUUCUGUUCUGGCAAAGAACUGCCUCAGCUGCCAGCCUGCUCCUACAAACCGCUCAGCCAAGCUGAGCUGAUGCCAGGACAAUGAAGGACUUGUAAGAGGUACGGAACAUCUCCAGCUUCUCGAGCAGACUUUGUGAGGCUGAUGGUCUUGAGGAAUAUGUUUUGGACUCCACUGGCUGCCAAACCUAUACAAUUAACAUAACUUUCUGCUUAUGGCAUUCAGGUUCCCAGAUCAGGAUGAUGCAUGGGAAAAGCAUGCAGAUAAGGCAUCGUUUGCCCAAACAUGUAAUCAGAAACUGACUUCCAAAAGGUAUGCCUCAAGUUGGAGAAUACAAACAAAUAUGUGAUAUUUUUCCAUUUAAGAACAAUCCUUAUAAUAUCACUAUGAUGCAGAUUACCUUCAUGACUCCUUAAUCCCAGCAUCCACAGAGGGAGAGUAAUCUAAAUUUGCAGAUGCAUCAUGUUGGAGAACUCUCAGUUUAGUGCAGCAAUUCUUGAAAAUAUAUUGGCCCAGCUGAUAGUAUCGGGGAAAAGAAGAUUAUCUCUGGCAUGGGACCACACUGCAACAUCCCCUGUUCUCAGGGAAGAAGCUCUAAUCUAAAAUCUAUCAGACUAUUUCUUUGCCUUGUAAUGUCCUCCUAAAUGAAAAUAGAACUAUUCAGCUUUUUGUCAUGAUGUGUAGAAAAGUGUGAAGUUAAAAAUAAAUCUCAGCUCUUCCUCA